CGUAGGUGGUAAGCGUUGUCCGGAUUUAUUGGGUUUAAAGGGUGCGUAGGCGGUCCUAUAAGUCAGUUGUGAAAUACGGCAGCUUAACUGUCGAGGUGCAAUUGAUACUGCAGGACUUGAGUACAGACGAGGUAGGCGGAAUUGACGGUGUAGCGGUGAAAUGCUUAGAUAUCGUCAAGAACACCGAUAGCGAAGGCAGCUUACUAGACUGUAACUGACGCUGAUGCACGAAAGUGUGGGGAUCAAACAGGAUUAGAUACCCUGGUAGUCCACACUGUAAACGAUGAUUACUCGAUGUUGGCGAUACACAGCCAGCGUCUUAGCAAAAGCGAUAAGUAAUCCACCUGGGGAGUACGCCGGCAACGGUG
rnacentral:rRNA from 1 species